CUUUGUCUGCUAUUGAUGUAAGGGACAAAUUUACGCCUCGUGGAAGUCCUGAAUUGAAUAGACUAAUAAAUCAUUGUUGUGAAUAGAAAAAGAAUAAAAUACUCUGCAUCCGGGAAGUAGAAAUCGUGGGGAUCAUACGUUAUAACUGUCAAGGAGACAGACGUGUGGGAAUUUGAUGGCCAAUUGUGCUCAAGUUUUGAUUUGUAAUUCUAUACAUAGUUUGACCCGUACGAUCCAAACAACAACAUAAGUUUCAUAUCAACAAGACAACAACUACUCAACAUUGCUUUGAUCAUUGAUGGGGACCUGUUACACAUAUUUUGGAUUUCAGCUCUCCACAGUUAUCCUAUUCUCUUCCUGCCCAUGCCAAUGGUUUGAUGUCAAAAUGACUAAUGAAACAUGUGAAUCCAUGUAUAUGUGGAUGUCAUGUGCUGGUGUAUAUAAGUGCAGAGUCAUGUGCACUGAUGUGUCGACGAUGGGAGGUGUUGUACAGUCUCUCAGCUUUCCCAGUGUUGAGUAGUGUCAGCUCGACUCUGGACGUCUGGAGGACUUGGUGAAACAACACCAACAAAACAAAUUGUUAACUAAAGCAGCUGAUUCUUCUUCCUGUUGAUUAUGGAAAAUUGGAAAUCUUUACAAGUUGC